CGGGGAAAACAGACCUACUAACUUAGACAUACACAAAGUCAUACAGACUGUGUGUUGAGUAGUUGCAACAGAAAGGACAGGCCCGGAAAACGAAAGUCCGAAGCGAGACUCACCUGCCUCGCCUCCCUCUGCCAAACAUCUCCUUUCCCCCUCACUCUGACCUCCCUCCCACUCCUCUCAUUCUAGCCGUUCCCUAUCAAAACCGUAUGUCAUGUCACUUCUUCGUCGAAGAGACUAUUUCACAUGGAUAACUAUGUCUCUUUUCUUCUCAAAAAAACAACCUGGUAAACUUCAGGAAACAAUUAAAGCAGAGCAAUUGAGCUAAGACCUUUAAUAAUGAAGGCAGUGUGUGGAGAAACUAGGGAGGAGGCUGAAGAGGCUGGAAAGAGUUUUCACCACCAGCACGGAGUUCAGGUUCUGGCAUCUCAAAGCAGAGAGUUUUCAAUGGAGGCAUGAGGACACCAACUGGUUGGAGCGGAGCACUGCACCUUAGAGAUAUUGCCUGUUGAAAGCAAUGCGUCCUUACUCAGUGUUUCACCAAGUAGGGUGCCUCGAGGACUUUAAAGAGGCUGCUUCCAGGCAGAGCUGUGUUCCUAGUGAAUUAGUCUACAUUAAGUCUUCAUAGUGCGAUUGAGAGGACUUGUGAGUCCCUGAAUGCUGCAAUGGGUCAAAAGGGUUUUUGAACAUACAGUGUAACCAAAUAAUUCAGAUUAAAUAUUUAAAUAGUAAAGCAUGUGGGCAUCUUUCUUUCUUUUUUUAACAUUUCACGAGUUUAUAUGGGCAAAAACAAAGAUUUAGGGUUAUGCUUAAACAUGCAUUUG